ensembl:lncRNA
CCCCAGAGAGUUUUGUCAUCUGGAGAGUGGAGCUGGUCCAGCCAGAGUCUUGGGGACAUUUACUUUGGAGGUGAGGAGAAGGUUUGUUAGGUGUUGGCAGGCCCCCUGGCAGCAGCAGGGGGAGGAGGGCAUCCAGCUCCCUAACGAGAGCUUGGCCAGAUGGAAGGUCAAGGCCCUGCCAAGAGGGCUGGGGCCAGGCUGGGGAGCCCCCACUGGAAACUGGAGAGUCGAUGAGGAAGAGGGGCAGACGUCAGGUCACUGGAAUGGACUGGGACAGACAGCUAUGUUGGGAAACAAGCAGAAAGAGCCUGAAGCCCCUGGGGAGGAGAACAGCUUGUAGAGCAAACAGUGAGCAGCACAGCGUGCCCUCCCGAAUGGAGCCAGGGUCAGAACAACGUGUCACUGCCACUUUGAUCUGGGAUUUGGAUCAGAAAGAACACAGGAUUUGGACUUUGCUCUGGUUUGGCUCUCCUCUCUGCCGCCUGCUGGUCUCAUGACGUAGGAUAAGUUAUUUGACCCUCUGAGCCUGCGUAUCUUCAUCUGUAGAGCGGGAGGGUGCAAGCUGGAGCCUGCACUAGGAUUUGGCCGUGUCUGGGGAGCUGCGGGGACCCCCAGGGGUCGGGGAGCCUGCCUCUCUUGACGAGCUGCGAGGAGCCAAGCACGUGAGCUCACCAAGUGGCCAAGUGUCCGUGUGGGAGAAAGGAGCAGCCUUGGGCACACUGUGGUGACGGUGGCUGAAUCUAUCCUUGGCACUCCCUCAUGUGGAGUCCUUGUCCGAUUCCUGGGCAGGGCCGUCACUAAGAGCUAAAAGAAGUGUUUGCUGAAUACUCUAUAAGAUGCUGCGGUACAGGGUCGCUGUGCUGGGACCCCCCCAGUGAGCAUACGGGAGAGGAGGACGCUUUGCGUGGGUGAGACGGCAGGGCAGGGAAGGGCAUGCCUGGCGCCUGGGGGUAGGACACCCACCGCAGGGGCUCCCCAAAAGUAUGGGGGAAGGCGCUUUGCUGGGAUUAAGUUCUACGUGACAGAUGGUGGUAACAAACUAACAUUUGGAUUAUUAGUCCCGACGUGGCUUCAUUUGCCCCACAUGAGGUGAGAGAAUCUUGGUUAAUAUCUAUCGCAUGGGGAUCGAAGAAGAUGUUCCAAGGCAUGAGCCUGGGCAUUGGGAGUAUGCACCCAAUGUCAGACCCCCUCAGAGACCACCCAUGGACCCACGGGACCCUUGGAGGACUGCUCAGGACACCCCCCCCACCCCCACCAUUCGUUUGGGGGAUUGAACAGCAUUCCCGUGGCAAACAUUUUUAAUUAAUAAGUAACCUAACACAGAUCUCUGAGUACUUACUACGUGCAAGUAAGGUUUACCUGCUAAGAGGGAUUUGAAUUAUUGUUUUUUCUCAGCACUUUACAGUUUACAAACUACUUCAAUAUACAUUUUAUUCACAUUCAUCUUCACAACAACCUAAUGGUGUAGGAUCCCCAUUUACAGAUGAGAAGAUUGAGUUUCAAAGAGGCUAAGUAAGGGCCGGCCUGGUGGCGCAGCGGUUGGGUGCACACAUUCCGCUUCGGCGGCCCGAGGUUCGCCAGUUCGGAUCCCGGGUGCGGACACGGCACUGCUUGGCAAGCCAUGCUGUGGUAGGCAUCCCACGUAUAAAGUAGAGGAAGAUGGGCACGGAUGUGAGCUCAGGGCGAGUCUUCCUAAGCAAAAAGAGGAGGAUUGGCAGCAGAUGUUAGCUCAGGGCUAAUCUUCCUCAAAAAAAAGAGGUUAAGUAAUUUAGCCAUAAUAACCCAACCAGUACGAGGUGUAGCUGGACUCAAACCCAUUCUCGUUCUUUGUGGGUUGCUGGGACCAAGCAAAUGACAGAACGAGGGGGAACCAGCAAGUACGAAGACCCGCGGCUGUGACGGGGAGAUCUGGAGAGGCUGAAGAUCGUUGUGGCUGGAUGUCUGUCGGGGAGAAGUCGGCUGGGCCCCGAGCUCGAUCUAACCCCAGGGUGGAGGCUGGGGACACAUGGUAGGAAAGCAGGCGGCGGCGGAGAGGGCCGGCUCAGGGGCCACGCCUGUGCCCAGGAGCCGCCUGGCUCGUCCGGGAGAAUUUUCACGGGCCUUUCAAAAGGAGACCGCACCUCAUGGCCCCCACGUCUCUGAGGUCACAGCAGAGGUGGCUUCGCUCCUCUUGCUGUGUCUGAGCCAUCCAAAUCACAGCGUCUGUACCCCAAUCAUUCCUAAUUCUUCUUGGAGAAUUAUUUAUAACAUUCUAAAAGUAUGCAAAGCCACAGACUGAAAGGUGCCAAUAUUAGAACAUUAGUUAGCCAGAAAUGAUGCUCAUUUCAAAUUGCAGGAAAAAAUGGAAGAGACAGGCAAAGAAAUGAGUAUUUAUGGGCCAGACUCGGUACUGGCACCUUUCACAUUCAUGAUCUCUUUUAAUACUCACUACUGCUAAUGUGGAAGAUGAUAUCAAUUCCGCUUUGCAGUUGAGGAAACAGACGUUCAGAGAGGUACAGUAACUUGGCCAAAGUCACACAGCUAAUAUGUGGCAAACCUAGGAUUUGAAUCCAGGUCCUACUUCCGAGUAUUUUCCAGUAUACGACAAUCUAUAGCCUGUGGAAUUCAGAUGGAAUUGAGAGAACCAAUAAACAGUUUAACUGACAGUAAAUUCUUGACCCUAGUUUUUAUUAAUUCAAGUUUACAAACCAUGCGGUUUCUAAAGGACCAGCUUCAGGAGCGUCCCUAAAUCAUCGCAGUACUCAGGAUUCACGGAGUUCCAGCAGUUCGAACUUGACACUGUGCGGGGUGCGCGGGGCCCGCGCGGAGCCUGAGUCCCGCGCGCUCAGCACUGCGCAGGCGCGGAGGGCGAGCCGGGAGCCGGCCUGCCGCCUCGGGCUUCGCCGAAGGAAGCGCAGGAGCCGGACUGUCCCGCCGCGGGGCUGCCUGGACGGCUCCGCGUCUGGCGAGUCAGCAGGAGACGCGCCCCCCGCCCGGCGGGAACGGGGUGCGGGGCGAGCGGCCUGCCCGACCUGCAGCCGGGCCGUGUUUGGAGCCGCGAGCGUGCCAGCCGGAGCCGGCGGAGCAGGCGAGGCGCGGCCGGCGCCGGGAGGACGUUUCCAGCCCGAGGCCGCUCUGCGCCGCUGCGGGGCCCCCGGCGCGCACGGCGGGUGCUUGGGUGGCGAAAGGCAGGCGCGUGUCCGGAGCGGCGCGGGCGCCAGCCUGGCCCUGCCGGCCCUCCCACGGCUGCCGGCGGUGUGGGAGCAGAGGCCGCAGCUGCGUGAACCAACUCGGCCUCGCUCCCUUCGCCAGCACGUGGCCCCGGACAACGCCCCUGCUGCCUGUGUCUUCAGCGCUCGAGGCGCAGGCCCUCGGCCGUCCAGGGGCAGGGGAGUUCUGCCGGGAGCUGCGGGGCGGGUGUGCAGCCCAGGGGAAAGGCCGGGACCCCACGGUCAGGCUGCGUUCCACAGCCUGGCCUUGCCAGGGUUGGGAGGGUGGGAGGAUGGCCUCCUCUGCUGGCGUCUACACUGCAAAACUCCGCGUCCCUGCACUGAACGGGACCGGGAGGCUGGCUUUGAGCAGGAAAGUAGAUCCUCCUGUCACCCCCUCGGGUGACCAAUCAGGAUGAACGUGCUCCCUGCUCAGACUUCCCACGGGGCCGCCUCCCUUUCUCCUCCUCCUCUUUCCCCCGCCCUUACCCGGGCUACUGCAGUGGCGGGGGCGCAGAAGGGGCCUUCCUUGCUGUCUGGCUUUUCCUGGAUUCCCUUGAUUAAACUAAACCUUCGAAUGAAUGUAAAAAACAAGCAAGCCGCAUGCGUGGGCCCUGCAGUCCCCUCCCCCAGAUUCUGACCCAAGGGCUUGGAGCAGGCUCAUUUUUAUUACCAGCCCAAGCGAUUCGGUUGCAGGUGAUUCUGGACCACACUUUGAAAAACACUGAGGCAGAAGUAAGCCAGCAAGUGCAUGGGAUACAUCCGAUGUGAGAGGUGCCCACUUCACUCUCUCAUGGCGGACUGGUUUCCUCCACCCUGCAGGAAAUGCAGCAGCCAAAUCCCUCCCUGCAUCCACCACACGUGCAGCUCCUGAAUUUCACAUCUUUGUUAACAACUUGCACCAAAGAUACUGCAGGCUUUCAGCCAGGAAGUCCCAGGCUCUUCAAAAGCCACGUCGGAAUCUCACCUCCUCUCUGUGUACCCCCACUGCCACCACAACGCUUCCGUUUCAACAGGGACCCGUUCCUGUGAUUUAAAUAAGUGGGUGAAUAAACAAGGGAAUAAGCAAGGGAAUGAGUGGACAGAAAGAAGAUGGGAAAAAAAUUCUCUUGCCCAAAAGUUGCCCCAAUGGAGGAACCAAGAAGAGAAGAGGAAGCGUCAGCCCUGAGAGGGCAUAUGCCGCCCUCCUCCCCUCCCCUCCACAGCCCUCUGCCCCCGUCCAAGCAGAUCACUGCCUGGAGGUGAGCGGUGCCCAGAAAAUGGGCAGGACCUGGAUAACGAUCAUAGUGGGCAGACAGAGACUGAAGCCCAGUCCCUGCUGUGCGACUUGGAAAUGUCAGUCAUGGCUUAAGGGGAGAGCCGAUUCAAGGAAACAGCCAAGUCAAGGUCGCCACAUGUGUGCGGCAUUUUAGGUUCAGCAAGCGAUCUGCAAAUUCAAAGCCUCGUAAAUGGGUUCCAAGAAAUCUGAUUUUAACAGCACCACUGACACAGGAGUGUGUCCCGGGACUCGCCCCUCACUGGGAUGAAGAUUGUCAUUGAUUUAUCAGGAGCAGAAACAGCAGGAUUCCACAUCACGUCCUGGAAGGCAGCCCAGGCAAAGGUGGAGAAUUAGCAGAUCGUUACUAUUAAUUCCAAUAUUACAACUCCCCAGGAGUCCUGCAGCAAAUCACAGGCUCUCUCACAGGAGUUUCUCCGUAUUUAAGUGGAGUUAAUGUUUUUUGUUUUUGUUUCUGUUUUUAAUGGAGCAUCAUUCCUAAUUAUGAAGACACUCUCAAAAUUACAAAUAUUCAUUAAUCACGCGCAAGUCCGGAACAUGCUAGGUCCUAUACGAGAUGCACAAAGCAGCAUUCUGGUGCUCAGGAAAGGAACGCGAACUCCGGAGUGCUGUGGACCAGGGCUCACACCCCAGCCCACCUCCUGUAAGGUGUGUGAGCUCGGGCAAAUCUCUCAGCCUCUCUGAGGCUUUAUUUUCUCCCCCACUAAGUAGAGGUAAUACCUACCCUGCAGAGAGCUCCAGCUGGGUAAUGUAAGUGUGAUGUUGCUCAAUCAAUAGCAGCGUUUAUUAUUGUCCAAACUAAAUUCCACCCAACAAGUGGAGUCAUGAUUUUUU